rfam:Picea glauca, whole genome shotgun sequence.
GCAAAAGCCCUAUUCAGGGCUACAAAUAAGUCUGUUGUCAAAUUUAU